GACGAACGCUGGCGGCGUGCUUAACACAUGCAAGUCGAACGGAAAGGCCUCUUUCGGGGGGUACUCGAGUGGCGAACGGGUGAGUAACACGUGAGUAACCUGCCCUUUACUUUGGGAUAACUUCAGGAAACUGGGGCUAAUACCGGAUAGGAGCUCCUGCUUCAUGGUGGGGGUUGGAAAGUUUCGGCGGUUGGGGAUGGACUCGCGGCUUAUCAGCUUGUUGGUGGGGUAGUGGCUUACCAAGGCUUUGACGGGUAGCCGGCCUGAGAGGGUGACCGGCCACAGUGGGACUGAGAUACGGCCCAGACUCCUACGGGAGGCAGCAGUGGGGAAUAUUGCACAAUGGGUGGAAGCCUGAUGCAGCAACGCCGUGUGCGGGAUGACGGCCUUCGGGUUGUAAACCGCUUUCGCUCAUGACGAAGCUUUGUGUGACGGUAGUGGGUAAAGAAGCACCGGCUAACUACGUG
rnacentral:rRNA from 1 species